CAGUCGCCACGGUAAAACGAAGGGGGCUAGCGUUGUCCGGAUUUACUGGGCGUAAAGCGCACGUAGGCGGAUCGAUCAGUCAGGGGUGAAAUCCCAGAACUCAACUCUGGAACUGCCUUUGAUACUGUCGAUCUGGAGUAUGGAAGAGGUGAGUGGAAUUCCGAGUGUAGAGGUGAAAUUCGUAGAUAUUCGGAGGAACACCAGUGGCGGAGGCGGCUCACUGGUCCAUUACUGACGCUGAGGUGCGAAAGCGUGGGGAGCAAACAGGAUUAGAGACCCGUGUAGUCCCUGUCUCUUAUAA
rnacentral:rRNA from 1 species